GAAACUGGAUUAGAGCCGAAACGUAUCUAACCUGCAUUCAGCUGUUGGGCGCUGCUGGUCAGACUCCGACUGGUCCUGCUUCUGGCUGGUCGUGGAUCUGUGUCUGGUGCUGUUUUGCGGUGCAUUUGCAGGUGGAGUGCGCUGAAAGAUACACUUAUUCAGCGGUUGGAGGCCGGUCAAGAGGUCUUUGCGUUGUGCAAAGAAACCCAGGCUGGUGGAAGACUGUUUGAUGUGUUUGGAAAUAAGAGCGUGGCCUACGAGCCGGCCGGCUUCUUGCUCUGCAGUGGAUAGUGGUCGCAUGCGACUGUUACUGCUUGUGGAGCAGGUUGGUGGUGCAGAUUCUCAUGCUCAUUUUCGGUGUAAAAGUUGGUCAUCUAUCCGACCCGUCUUGAAACACGGACCAAGGAGUUUAGCGGAUGCGCGAGUCAUUGGGUGUUAAACCUAGAGGCGCAAUGAAAGUGAAGGCAUCCUUAUGGAGCUGAUAUGCGAUCCCGGGCAUUUUGUGUGUCUGGGCGCAGCAUAGCCCCAUCCUAGUUGCUUGCAACGGGGUGGAGGUAGAGCGUAUCCGCUGAGACCCGAAAGAUGGUGAACUAUGCCUGAGCAGGAUGAAGCCAGAGGAAACUCUGGUGGAAGUCCGAAGCGGUUCUGGACGUAAA
rnacentral:rRNA from 1 species